rnacentral:rRNA from 1 species
UACGGAGGGUGCGAGCGUUGUCCGGAAUCAUUGGGCGUAAAGGGUGCGUAGGCGGUCUGACAAGUCUGAUGUGAAAUCUAUGGGCUCAACCCAUAGUCUGCAUCGGAAACUGUCGGGCUUGAGUAUGGGAGAGGUGAGUGGAAUUUCCGGUGUAGCGGUGAAAUGCGUAGAUAUCGGAAGGAACACCUGUGGCGAAAGCGGCUCACUGGACCAUUACGUGACGGCU